rnacentral:rRNA from 1 species
ACAAGCAGCGGUAGCGUGUGGUUUAAUUCGUUGACUACACGAAGUAACCUUACCUGGGUUUGACAUAUAGGUUGUAGGGAACUGAAAAGGGACCGACCCUUCGGGAGCCUAUACAGGUGUUGCAUGGCUGUCGUCAGCUCGUGUCGUGAGAUGUUCGGUUAAGUCCGCUAACGAGCGCAACCCUCGUCGUAUGUUAUAUGUGUCAUACGAGACUGCCGGUAAAAGCCGGAGGAAGGUGAGGAUGAUGUCAAGUCAGCAUGACCUUUAUAUCCAGGGCUACACACACGCUACAAUGGUCUGUACAAUGGGUAGCCAAGCCGCGAGGCGGAGCCAAUCCUGAAAGCAGGCCUCAGUUCAGAUUGCAGUCUGCAACUCGACUGCACGAAGCCGGAGUUGCUAGUAACCGCAGGUCAGCAAUACUGCGGUGAAUACGUUCCCGGGUCUU